rnacentral:rRNA from 1 species
GUAGGUGGCAAGCGUUGUCCGGAAUUAUUGGGCGUAAGGCGCGCGCAGGCGGUUCUUUAAGUCUGAUGUGAAAGCCCACGGGCUCAACCGUGGAGGGUCAUUGGAAACUGGAGAACUUGAGUACAGAAGAGGAAAGCGGAAUUCCACGUGUAGCGGUGAAAUGCGUAGAGAUGUGGAGGAACACCAGUGGCGAAGGCGGCUUUCUGGUCUGUAACUGACGCUGAGGCGCGAAAGCGUGGGGAGCAAACAGGAUUAGAUACCCUGGUAGUCCACGCCGUAAACGAUGAGUGCUAAGUGUUAGGGGGUUUCCGCCCCUUAGUGCUGCAGCUAACGCAUUAAGCACUCCGCCUGGGGAGUACGGCCGCAAAGGCUG